GGGGAUGUAGCUCAAAUGGUAGAGCGCUUGCUUUGCAUGCGAGACGUACGGGGUUCAUAUCCCGCAUCUCCA
rnacentral:tRNA from 1 species